UAAUACCGAAGAUUCGUAAGGAUCAGAUAAUCUGAAGUAAUUUUAUUUUUCAGAUGUUGCUUCAACUAUCUUCACAGCUGCUAAAGAACAAAGGGAAAUUGAAAAUUUCAAGAAUGAAAAUCUAGAGUCUUCCGAAAUGCCGGAAGUAGAUGACUAACAAAUGUAAUGAAAUUAAUGAACCGACCAGAAGCUCACAAAGAGCAAAGCCGAGUGUCCUCAGAAACUUCGGACACACGUAUCGCUGCUUACUAAUCUGAAACUCUACCUGCAAAAUUAUAAAUAUUGAGAAACUUGUCAAAUAUGAUUAAACAAGAGCUCCGUCCUUUGAAAUGACAUGGAAUUCAAAGAUAUUAUCUUCUAUUGGCAGGACUCAGUUGCUUGAUGACGCUUCAGAAACUUAAUGUCCUCAAAGAAUUCUCAUCGUGAUCUGGAGUUAUCAAAGUCAUUUGACGUGAAAAAUAUUCCGCCCUCCUGAACUCUACAGCUCGAGAUUUCACGGAUGUUUCUAAAAGCCAGACUGAAGAAGAAAGUCGGAUUGAUGAGCGAGACGAAGAUUACUGUCCGCCAGAAAAAAGCGACAUGGCCGACGACAAAACCUCGACAGAUUGCAAAACGUUGGGAAGAAAAUGACCUCGCUGUUUGGAGAAUGUACACGACGAUGAGGCAAUUGUGUAAAGAAUUUCUAGACCAACCUAAAGUACGAAAGGAGCGGCGGCAAAUUGUUGCCAUGCUCGGAAAGAAGGGGAAGGAACUUUUUAAUUUAGUCAAAAGAUUCAACGAUGGAUCCGUGUUGGUUUAUUGGAGUGAUAUUAGUGCGUGAAACAAAAUGCGCGAGAAUUUAUUUCUGGUGCCUUCCUGGUGGAAGAAACGAAAAACCAUUCAUUUACGAAACAAUAAAAUAGUCGGAAAACCGACGGCUCAAAGUUUGAAAAUCAAAGGUACCGAAAAAUCGAGACAAUAGAGCGGAAUUCUCAAACGGGUGAAGUAAGUAAACAAGAACAAGUGGGAAGAUCUUGAAAUGAAGGAAUUUGCAUCUCGGAGAUUCAAUAAACCGAAAUGCCGAACAAACAGGAUUCAGAAAAUAAAAAUAUCAAUGUUCCAAAACUGGCGAAGUAAAUAAACAAAAACAAGUGGGAAAUUUAAUCGACGACGUGCUGGAGAAAUCUAACGUAUGUGCACCGAAGACUUUGACUCGUACCAAGGAA